UACGGAGGGUGCAAGCGUUAUCCGGAUUCACUGGGGUUAAAGGGUGCGUAGGUGGGAAUGUAAGUCAGUGGUGAAAUCUCCGUGCUUAACAUGGAAACUGCCAUUGAUACUAUGUUUCUUGAAUUUUCUGGAGGUAAGCGGAAUAUGUCAUGUAGCGGUGAAAUGCUUAGAUAUGACAUAGAACACCAAUUGCGAAGGCAGCUUACUACAGGGAUAUUGACACUGAGGCACGAAAGCGUGGGGAUCAAACAGG
rnacentral:rRNA from 1 species